rnacentral:rRNA from 1 species
UACGUAGGUGGCAAGCGUUGUCCGGAUUUAUUGGGUUUAAAGGGUGCGUAGGCGGCCCUGUAAGUCAGUGGUGAAAUACUCUAGCUUAACUAGAGGGGUGCCAAUGAUACUGCAGGGCUUGAGUACAGAUGAGGUAGGCGGAAUUGACGGUGUAGCGGUGAAAUGCAUAGAUAUCGUCAAGAACACCGAUAGCGAAGGCGGCAUCCUGGACCGAUACUGACGCCGAGGAGCGAAAGCCAGGGGAGCAAACGGG